rnacentral:lncRNA from 1 species
AUCACCUAGUGGCAUCUUUAAUGUAGACAUCACCAUCAUUCCUGACAAAUAUAUCUGGGAUCUUGACAAUACCAGAUAAGUUUUGUCCUAGAGGAACACUUUGUAUGCAUGGUCCAGCAUCAUCAUCAACCUCGAUAUCAUCAAAGAUAUGUCUAGGCACCAUUCUCACAACAACAUCUCAUUGAGGUUCCAAGAGAUUACUAAUGUAGAAGAUUUGACUAGCUUGGGAGGCAAGUAUAUACGGUUCUUCAGUGCGG